AUUCCGGACUUCCCGGCCAUUUUAACGAGUUCAGACUAAACAGUUUCUUUAGCAAUACAUAUUUGUCACUUGUAACAAAUUUAGAAAGACAGGAGAUCUUUGGUGAGCCAAGCGAUCACAAAUACUGAUGUGGAGGUCUCGCUUCCCAUGUUUUUAUUUUCGGCUGUAAAGGACUAAACACUGGAGAAAAUAGCACCAUUUCUUCCACUAUCUCGACUUAAGGACAAACCUGAUCCCAAACUCUUCGCGCAGAAAUAAAAGUCAAUCAACAAUUCUCACCAGCUGUGCCACCAUGUCCCAUGGUGGGGAAGCCACACAGGUCAUCUGAGCAUCCAAGCUGCUUUUCAAGAAAUCUCCAAUUCCAGGAAGAAUGAGAACAUCAUUCUGUUGUGGGGUGCUCAUCAGAGAAGACUUCUCGGACAUGGGUUUUAGCCAAUAGAAAAUCUUUCUUAGCUGACCAAUGACUGACUACACUGUGUGUUCCAGAUCACGGUGUAGCACUGAGCCUUUCUCAGGGUUGAGCCUUUAAGCACAAAAAUCAUAGCCCAGGUUGACAUACUUCAGUUAUCAAGAACAGUUAGCCAGAAGCAGAACACCGAAGCCAGAAAACAAGGGUGGUACUUCUAGGGACUCUCCCAGAACUAUGGACUUUGAUGAAUUGAGUUUUUGUUUUAGUUUUGGCAGGUAGUGCCACCUACUACAUACAGCCUGAAUGGCAUUCAAUUAGGGAGUCAGCUGUGCUAAGGUCUCAGGGCCUGUUACAUUCCAAAGUUGCAGAACUAAAGAAUGUGUCUGUGAGAACAAAGCUCACCUGGUAGAUGAUUGUGGAAUUCCAGAACAAACGUGUGUAAAGAAUUCAUGUUUCUAUUUCAUUCUUCCUAUUUUCCAGAUGUUAUUCUACUGACAGGAAAGAAAGGCUAUGUGAAAGGCCCCUUUCUGAGCCCUAGUAAUUGCUUGUUAGUAAUCAUGAAAGCAUCAUGAGUUCAUGAAUGUUUCUUCUUUAAAAUUAUUAUAAUACCAUUUGUAUUCAUAAAUUAAGUGUAAAACAUGAUAAUAGUCAAAAGUAUUCAUAUUCCUAACUCUGGGUCUUUUCACUUCUUAAUGAAAGCUAAUUUACACAUAGCAAUUAAGGACCUUGAUUCUGUCAAGAAGCCAGAGGACCCCCACACCCCCCUUCCAAACGUACUGUUUCCUUUUUGAAAUGAACAGUAUGUAUAUUGAAAAGUGCUGUGGCAUCAAGUUAUAAGAAUCAACGAAAGUAGGAGAACAUGGGAGGGUGGCUUUGUCACGCCGUAGGGUCUGUAAUAAAUGAGUUUGUGAAUGAUGAGCAUUAAUAAGGAAGCAGUUCUCAGUCUAUGCAAACUGCUUGCUUAGCCGUGAAUUGCAGUACCGAAAUAACUCGGUUCCAGCUUUUCUAAAUCUGACCAUGUGGUCUCAAAUAAUCCGUAGGAUCUCCUAGCGAGGACCGCAUUGUCUUUUAUAAUGUGCAGAGCCCAGCAGACGGUUCCUUUCACUUCCUAAGUCUUCUGGACAAGAGCUGCCUCUGUGACCACGUGGCCUAACGGAUAAGGCGUCUGACUUCGGAUCAGAAGAUUGAGGGUUCGAAUCCCUUCGUGGUUACUUAACUUUUCUUUUUUUCUCUGAUUUCUAUAAGUUAAAUUAUAACGUCCGAUCAAAAAAUAAAAAAAGACUCCCUCAUUUU
rnacentral:tRNA from 1 species